ensembl:lncRNA
AGUUUAAUGCAGAGACUAUAGGACAGCCAUUCAUAGACUGAUUCCCGUGAAGUGGACUGAUGCUGCUCCACCAUUUAAAACUGAUACCAAAGCUGAUCAAACAAAUAUAUUUAUGCGCUGUCACAUAGAGCAGCGCUGGCUUUCUUUCUCAGACCUUUCAAGAAGAAACGCUCCGUGGCUUUGAUUAGGUCCUGGCCCGGACGAGUGCGCCCAUCAUCUGGAGGAGAGGAGGAGAGGAUCUCAAACCAGCGGCCCUGGGAUCAAACAGGUGUUACUCCUUCACCUGUGAGGCCAGAAUCAAAGGCUGGCUUUAUCAGCAAGCGUAGCAGACGAAGCCCGGCUCAAGAGACACAUGCGCAGGUUCAAACGCUGCGGCAGAAGAAAGAGCAGGAGCUGCUACUCCUGUGAGGAGGUAUUUUCCUCCAACAUUCAUGCCAUUACAGGGGCCGUAUGAAAGAAAAUUCACAAAUGAGAUCUCUUUAAUAUUAAAUGUAGAGCACAUUGAGACUUUUGGAAAUACAAAUGGGUCAGAAAUGUUUUUCUGUGACUGUAAAUUAAUGAGAUUUUCCUCACCAGGAGACUUUGCUUUUCAAGAUCAGUGCAUGAAAAGACAUUUUAGUAACAUGUGCUAUUUUAGCAGGACCUUUUCAGCAUCUUCUCAUCUUCACUGCAGCCUGUAGGAGAUGUUAAGGACUGAAUGAAGUUUGUGGCAUAAUCGAAUGAAACUUGAGGAAACCACAUCAAACAUCUCAGUGCUCAGGAAGCCAUAACUGAUGUGAUUGUGUUUUGGAGGCAAUAACAAACCAAGCAUUUCAUAAUUAAUUUAAGAUUGCUUUCCACUGAAACAUAACAUGUGAAAUAAAGGUUGCAUUAGUCGGUCUGUUCCA